rnacentral:rRNA from 1 species
GAUGAACGCUGGCGGCGUGCUUAACACAUGCAAGUCGAACGAUGAAGCCCAGCUUGCUGGGUGGAUUAGUGGCGAACGGGUGAGUAACACGUGAGUAACCUGCCCUUGACACUGGGAUAAGCCUGGGAAACUGGGUCUAAUACUGGAUAUGACUUCUCAUCGCAUGGUGGGGGGUGGAAAGAUUUAUUGGUCUUGGAUGGACUCGCGGCCUAUCAGCUUGUUGGUGGGGUACUGGCUCACCAAGGCGACGACGGGUAGCCGGCCUGAGAGGGUGACCGGCCACACUGCGACUGAGACACGGCCCAGACUCCUACGGGAGGCAGCAGGGGGGAAUAUUGCACAAUGGGAGCACGCCUGAUGCAGCGACGCCGCGUGAGGGAUGACGGCCUUCGGGUUGUAGUCCUCUUUCAGUAGGGAAGAAGCGAGAGUGACGGUACCUGCAGAAGAAGCUCCGGCUAACUACGUG